UAGGGAAUCUUCCGCAAUGGGCGAAAGCCUGACGGAGCAACGCCGCGUGAGUGAUGAAGGUCUUCGGAUCGUAAAACUCUGUUAUUAGGGGAGAACAAAUGUGUAAGUAACUAUGCACGUCUUGACGGUACCUAAUCAGAAAGCCACGGCUAACUACGUGCCAGCAGCCGCGGUAAUACGUAGGUGGCAAGCGUUAUCCGGAAUUAUUGGGCGUAAAGCGCGCGUAGGCGGUUUUUUAAGUCUGAUGUGAAAGCCCACGGCUCAACCGUGGAGGGUCAUUGGAAACUGGAAAACUGGAGUGCAGAAGAGGAAAGUGGAAUUCCAGGGGUAGCGGUGAAAUGCGCAGAGAUAUGGAGGAACACCAGUGGCGAAGGCGACUUUCUGGUCUGUAACUGACGCUGAUGUGCGAAAGCGUGGGGAUCAAACAGG
rnacentral:rRNA from 1 species